AUUUUGCGCGCGGAGCGGAAUUUUUCUUUGUCUUGUGAUUUCUUGGGUGGAACAGAAAAUUCUUGGGUGAAUUAGAAAAGACAAAGAAAAAGUCCGCUCCGCGCGCAAAAUUCCGC